UUAAAUCGAGGUUUUAGUUAAUUAGUUUUGAGUUUUUCUUUAGUAUAAUUAUUUAUGUUUUAUUAUUUUUUGGUUUAAAAGUAGCUGAUUAAUAUAUUUAUCGUAGUAUUUUUACUUUAUACCUUUAAUGAAAAAAAAAAAAAGAAAAAAAAAAGGGGGAAAGGAGAACCAAUACCAUAUUGCCACAUGACAAAUUUCAGUCCUACCCAUACCCGUGACAUAUUCCAUUUUAGGAAUAAAAAUAUCCUAGUAUUAAAAGGACAUUUUAGGAAACUUACCAAAAAUUAGACGGUCUAUAAAAAGGAAGCUAGACUUAAUUUCCUAACCUAGACUACACCAUUCUCAUCAGCCGUAGGAGCCAUUUUGAUUUAUGAUUACUUCUAUUAUCCUUCCCAAAUCCUAGACCUAAUAGCCGCAGCAACUGGACCAAAAAAUCCAAGUAGAAAGCACAUAUAGAGAUAGAGCACGAGAGACUAUUAUUCAUUGGUCUUCACCGGAAAAUCAUGUGAACCCACCAUAGUCAUCUUCGCCACCAAAAAUCACCAUGAAAGCUUCAUCUUGCUCCAUGGAUAAUAACUGGAAAACAAAGCUGCACCACUGUUUGAGUCACAAACAACCACCAAUACCAUGUAAACCUUGUUGAAUCACCCAAUAAAACCCAACAAAAAUCUGAUCCCGUUACAUCACUUUGAUUGAAGUUGAGGUCUUCCGGUCGGCUACGAGUUCCCCGUUGUAGUCCAUUCUUGUACGUGAGCUUGGAGUAUCGUUGGUCCUUAUGUAUUGAAGAAUUUUUUCAGCUUAUAAAGAUCUUGCGAAGCGAAAGACUUAAGUUCGGAUUAGCAUAGAAAGCGGGCAAGGUACAGACGUUCGUGUGAGUGACCCGACAGCUUAGGCUAUCUGUUCUGCUGCCUUGGAGUGCUCCCUCGUUCUGGAGCCCACAUUUUGGUACAUACUCUUCCGUUAUAUAUAUGUAUGUGUAUAUUCAGGGGUACGGCGGGGCCCUGUCCCGUCAUAUGAUUCUGUUGUGUUUGUUAGAGGCCUGUAGACAUAUAUGUGGGUCAUGGGUCGUUAUUGUUCGGUUAUGUCUGUGAUUUGCGUCUAAGCGGUCCUAUUUUCUAUGACAGCCUUAACGGCUUGUAUAUAUAUAUAUAUAUAUAUAUAUAUAUAUAUAUAUAUAUAUACUUAUGUAUAUGCUUUGGACGAUAUGUUCUACGACAGCCUUGGUGGCUCCUGUAUGAUGUGUUUGAUAUAUGCG